AGCACCUUUAAUUCAGUCCCGUGAGACUGGCAAGGUUACGUGAACCGAGGUUCACCGCAUGACACUCGUAUAUUCGUAUACGUGUCGUUGAUGGGCGUCCUCUUAUUCAAUCCAAUAGCUAUUGGAUUGAAUAACGAAGUAAACUCCUUGCCUUUAGGGCAAGGAGUUUUUUUGUA
rfam:Paenibacillus sp. LPB0068 PNBC_32, whole genome shotgun sequence.